rnacentral:rRNA from 1 species
ACGCUGGCGGCAGGCCUAACACAUGCAAGUCGAACGGUAGCACAGAGAGCUUGCUCUUGGGUGACGAGUGGCGGACGGGUGAGUAAUGUCUGGGAAACUGCCCGAUGGAGGGGGAUAACUACUGGAAACGGUAGCUAAUACCGCAUAACGUCGCAAGACCAAAGUGGGGGACCUUCGGGCCUCACACCAUCGGAUGUGCCCAGAUGGGAUUAGCUAGUUGGUGAGGUAAUGGCUCACCAAGGCGACGAUCCCUAGCUGGUCUGAGAGGAUGACCAGCCACACUGGAACUGAGACACGGUCCAGACUCCUACGGGAGGCAGCAGUGGGGAAUAUUGCACAAUGGGCGCAAGCCUGAUGCAGCCAUGCCGCGUGUAUGAAGAAGGCCUUCGGGUUGUAAAGUACUUUCAGCGAGGAGGAAGGCGUUGUGGUUAAUAACCGCAGCGAUUGACGUUACUCGCAGAAGAAGCACCGGCUAACUCCGUGCCAGCAGCCGCGGUAAUACGGAGGUGCAAGCGUUAAUCGGAAUUACUGGGCGUAAAGCGCACGCAGGCGGUCUGUCAAGUCGGAUGUGAAAUCCCCGGGCUCAACCUGGGAACUGCAUUCGAAACUGGCAGGCUAGAGUCUUGUAGAGGGGGGUAGAAUUCCAGGUGUAGCGGUGAAAUGCGUAGAGAUCUGGAGGAAUACCGGUGGCGAAGGCGGCCCCCUGGACAAAGACUGACGCUCAGGUGCGAAAGCGUGGGGAGCAAACAGGAUUAGAUACCCUGGUAGUCCACGCCGUAAACGAUGUCUAUUUGGAGGUUGUUCCCUUGAGGAGUGGCUUCCGGAGCUAACGCGUUAAAUAGACCGCCUGGGGAGUACGGCCGCAAGGUUAAAACUCAAAUGAAUUGACGGGGGCCCGCACAAGCGGUGGAGCAUGUGGUUUAAUUCGAUGCAACGCGAAGAACCUUACCUACUCUUGACAUCCAGAGAACUUAGCAGAGAUGCUUUGGUGCCUUCGGGAACUCUGAGACAGGUGCUGCAUGGCUGUCGUCAGCUCGUGUUGUGAAAUGUUGGGUUAAGUCCCGCAACGAGCGCAACCCUUAUCCUUUGUUGCCAGCGGUUCGGCCGGGAACUCAAAGGAGACUGCCAGUGAUAAACUGGAGGAAGGUGGGGAUGACGUCAAGUCAUCAUGGCCCUUACGAGUAGGGCUACACACGUGCUACAAUGGCAUAUACAAAGAGAAGCGACCUCGCGAGAGCAAGCGGACCUCAUAAAGUAUGUCGUAGUCCGGAUUGGAGUCUGCAACUCGACUCCAUGAAGUCGGAAUCGCUAGUAAUCGUAGAUCAGAAUGCUACGGUGAAUACGUUCCCGGGCCUUGUACACACCGCCCGUCACACCAUGGGAGUGGGUUGCAAAAGAAGUAGGUAGCUUAACCUUCGGGAGGGCGCUUACCAC